rnacentral:rRNA from 1 species
UUGGUCAAUGGGUGCAAGCCUGAACCAGCCAUCCCGCGUGAAGGACGACUGCCCUAUGGGUUGUAAACUUCUUUUGUAUAGGGAUAAACCUACCCUCGUGAGGGUAGCUGAAGGUACUAUACGAAUAAGCACCGGCUAACUCCGUGCCAGCAGCCGCGGUAAUACGGAGGGUGCAAGCGUUAUCCGGAUUUAUUGGGUUUAAAGGGUCCGUAGGCGGACUUAUAAGUCAGUGGUGAAAGCCUGUCGCUUAACGAUAGAACGGUCAUUGAUACUGUAAGUCUUGAGUAUAUUUGAGGUUGCUGGAAUAAGUAGUGUAGCGGUGAAAUGCAUAGAUAUUACUUAGAAAUCCUAUUGCGAAGGCAGGUUACCAAGAUAUAACUGACGCUG